rnacentral:rRNA from 1 species
AGUGAGGAAUAUUGCACAAUGGGGGCAACCCUGAUGCAGCAACGCCGCGUGGAGGAUGACGCAUUUCGGUGUGUAAACUCCUUUUAUAUGUCAAGAAAAUGACGGUAGCAUAUGAAUAAGCACCGGCUAACUCCGUGCCAGCAGCCGCGGUAAUACGGAGGGUGCAAGCGUUAUUCGGAAUCACUGGGCGUAAAGGACGCGUAGGCGGGUUGGUAAGUCAGAUGUGAAAUCCUACAGCUUAACUGUAGAACUGCAUUUGAAACUACUAACCUAGAGUAUGGGAGGGGGAGAUGGAAUUAGUGGUGUAGGGGUAAAAUCCGUAGAUAUCACUAGGAAUACCGAAAGCGAAGGCGAUCUCCUGGAACAUAACUGACGCUAAGGCGUGAAAGCGUGGGGAGCAAACAGGAUUAGAUACCCUGGUAGUCCACGCCCUAAACGAUGAACACUAGUCGUCGGGAUGCUAGUCAUCUCGGUGAUGCACUUAACAGAUUAAGUGUUCCGCCUGGGGAGUACGGUCGCAAGAUUAAAACUCAAAGGAAUAGACGGGGACCCGCACAAGUGGUGGAGCAUGUGGUUUAAUUCGAAGAUACGCGAAGAACCUUACCUAGCCUUGACAUUGAAGAAAUAGACCAGAGAUGGACUAGUGCCCUUCGGGGAAUCUGAAAACAGGUGCUGCACGGCUGUCGUCAGCUCGUGUCGUGAGAUGUUGGGUUAAGUCCCGCAACGAGCGCAACCCUCGUCCUUAGUUGCUAGCAGUUUGGCUGAGCACUCUAAGGAGACUGCCUUCGCAAGGAGGAGGAAGGUGAGGACGACGUCAAGUCAUCAUGGCCCUUAUGGCUAGGGCUACACACGUGCUACAAUGGGGCGUACAGAGUGUUGCGAUACCGCGAGGUGGAGCUAAUCACUUAAAGCGUCUCUCAGUUCGGAUUGGAGUCUGCAACUCGACUCCAUGAAGCUGGAAUCACUAGUAAUCGUAGAUCAGCAAUGCUACGGUGAAUACGU